GAAGCCUUAGUUUAAAUAAAGCGUCUGAUUUGCAUUCAGGAGAUGUAGAGUAGCUCUAUAGGUUUUA
rnacentral:tRNA from 1 species